AGAUAAGACAUUUUCCAUGGUGACGUCAACACCUUGUUUUGUCCAUUAAAGUAAAAUACACAUCAUCGGUCAACAUAGAUUAUGGUAACAACACGAAGUUUGUGGUCAAUAGUUUUUGGGUUGCUUAAGAAAGGGUUUCCUACUGUUUUUAUGUGUUAACAUUUUAGCACUCUGGACUGGAUGUUUUGCUGCUGUUUUUCUUGUUUGUUUGUUUUUAAAUGGUCAGUAUUGAAAAAAAAUAUCCCUUGGUGGUGUAAAGCUAAAGGUUGACCUCAUAAAGUUAUUUUUUUUAGUUGUAAUUUGAUCUUUUACUGUGCCAGAAUGCCAUAAAUUCAAAUGAAAAUACUUAAAAAUAAGGCUCUUUACAGUAAUUAUUAGGUUAAAAUAUUCGUAAUUAAAACUGAGGAAUUAGAUUAAAUAAUUACAUUGAAAAAGACUAUAUUUUACAUCACUGUAAACACUUUUUUAUGUCAUGCUUUUGAAGGCUUACCUACGGUGGCCUUGAAGAGCAAAUCACACCACUCUCAACUCUCAACACAAAACAUUAAUGAACACAACAAUUAAAAAGGCAAAAAAUAAAAGUAUUACAUUUUUUCAAAUCAAAAGAAAAUUCCAGAAACCAAACGCAAAUUAAAAAAAAUAAAUAAAUAAAAAUGAGAAAGUUUUGAGAGGCAAAAGCACUUUCCAGAAAUCAAAAGGGCCACCGUACUUUUCUGCUCCAAGUACUUUUUACUUUUUAUUCUCUAUUUUAUGAGUGACCUUUGGCUUCACUUUUUCCCCCUGCGACCAGUGACAAGUAAAGCUGUGAUUUGAUUUGCUACAUUUCUUUCCAAUGGAAUGACCAUCACCUCCAGCAGCAUCUAUUCAGAGUUCUUCUACAUGACGGUCUGAACACGGAUUUCUACACGGCUGCGUUGACUCAGGAAUAACCUCUGGGAGAGAGAAUUUGUCCUUUAAAAAUGUGAAUUUCUUGCAAUGGUCUUACAUGUUUGCAGUUAAGCUGAAUCCAGGUUGAUUUUU